rnacentral:lncRNA from 1 species
AAGAUUUGAUUGAAGAGGUAUAAAUCAAGUCAUGACAACAACUUCUAAGUUCACAGAAGAUUAUUUAUUAAAAUCAAAACCUAUACAAGUUGACAUAGUACAUUUUAAAUCUCUUACUACUUACAAAAAGACUCGAUGUUGUCAAGAAAGAUUCUGCUUAUAUUGUAGAUAAUCUAAGCACACUGCUCAACAUUUUUUGAAGAAGCAAUGUAACUACAAAAUUAAGAGUAUGGUUGCCAAAGAUGACAAUGUGUUCAAAAACCAGUUUCUCCAACUAUAA